rnacentral:rRNA from 1 species
CAUGGGCGGAACCUGAUCCAGCCUGCCUGCCGCGUGUGUGAAGAAGGUCUUCGGAUUGUAAAGCACUUUAAGUUGGGAGGAAGGGCAGUAAGUUAAUGCCUUGCUGUUUUGACGUUACCGACAGAAUAAGCACCGGCUAACUCUGUGCCAGCAGCCGCGGUAAUA